CUCAGAGGCAUCCCUCCCGAUACGUCAAGUUAUGUUAUGUUUCGGGGUAAUUUCUCUACGACAAUUAGCGGACACACGUAUUGACAGUACACGUGUUUACCGCCUUACUGCGGCAACCACAGAUGGUAUUCAGGAGUCCAAACAGGUACCGUGAGCGACGACAUCGCACCGGUUUGUUUACUAUCGUCUUCUGAGAUGGACUUCAACUCUUUUAUUCUUAUCCUGCGUGAGGGUGGACUUCUCCCUACACUAUUUGGCAUGAUGCCUCCUGCUCAAACUGGCCCAGUCCCCUCCAGCCUUCAUCCUUCCAUCUUUAUAUCACAGCAACGUACCAAGCUCUCCUCGGUGUUUGGGGUUUGACAACCGCUCCCCUCACAACACCCGUUGGCUGGCAUACCGGGGAUUUGAUGCGGCGCUUUGUCUACUGCAAGGUGGUGUUGACCACCUCUUUAGUUUGGGUGCUGGUGGAUGUCUUCUUGCUGCUCUACUUCAGCGAGUGUAACAAAUGUGACGACAGGAAGGACCGCUCGCUCCUUCCUGCCCUACGCGCUGUGAUAUCCCGUAGCCACGGGGGUCCCGGUGAGAUGGGCAAGGCAGUGAACAUCCCCAAGGAAGAUCACGAGAAGAUGAAGGAGCUCUUUAAGAUAAACCAGUUCAAUCUCAUGGCCAGCGAUAUGAUUGCACUCAACAGGAGUUUACCGGAUGUCAGGUUGGAUGGCUGUAAGACCAAGGUAUACCCUGACAACUUGCCAAACACCAGCAUAGUCAUCGUGUUCCACAAUGAGGCAUGGAGCACAUUGCUGCGGACAGUCCAUAGUGUCAUCACCCGCUCUCCUAGGCACUUGCUUGUGGAAAUUCUACUGGUGGAUGACUUCAGUGAGAGAGACUUCUUAGGUAAAAAGUUGGAGGAUUAUGCGCAAACACUGGAUGUGCCAGUAAAAAUCCUAAGGAUGGAGCAGCGUUCAGGUCUCAUCCGAGCUAGAUUGAGGGGAGCGGCUGCCACGAGGGGACAGGUCAUCACUUUCCUGGACGCCCACUGUGAAUGUACUGUCGGGUGGUUGGAACCCCUGCUGGUCCGCAUCAAAGAGGACAGGACAGCAGUAGUGUGUCCCAUCAUUGACGUCAUCAGUGACGAGUCCUUCGAAUACCUGGCCGGCUCUGAUAUGACCUACGGGGGAUUUAACUGGAAGCUCAAUUUUCGCUGGUACCCUGUUCCUCAGCGGGAGAUGGAUCGGCGCAAGGGUGACAGAACACUUCCUGUCAGAACCCCCACCAUGGCAGGAGGGCUGUUCUCUAUAGACAAAACAUACUUUGAAGAAAUAGGAAGCUACGAUCCAGGGAUGGAUAUCUGGGGUGGAGAGAACUUAGAGAUGUCGUUCAGAAUCUGGCAGUGUGGCGGCUCCUUGGAGAUUGUCACAUGUUCCCACGUUGGCCACGUUUUCCGGAAGGCUACACCUUACAGUUUCCCCGGUGGAACAGGCCAAGUUAUCAACAAGAACAACCGGCGGCUGGCAGAAGUCUGGAUGGAUGACUUCAAAGAUUUCUUCUAUAUCAUAUCCCCAGGAGUGAUGCGUGUGAACUACGGUGACGUAUCUUCCCGAAAAGCCCUUCGUGAAGCCUUGAAGUGCAAACCGUUCUCCUGGUACCUGGAGAACAUCUACCCAGACUCCCAGAUCCCGAGAAGAUAUUACUCGCUCGGUGAAAUCAGGAACGUUGAGACCAACCAAUGUGUUGACAACAUGGGACGAAAGGAGAAUGAGAAAGUUGGCUUUUUCAACUGCCACGGCAUGGGUGGAAACCAGGUGUUCGCUUACACGGCAGACAAAGAAAUCCGAACAGACGACCUCUGUUUGGACGUUUCCCGCCUCAACGGGCCUGUCAUCAUGCUCAAGUGUCACCACAUGAAGGGCAAUCAGAUGUUUGAGUACGACGCCGAGUUUGUUGGCAAAUGGGAAUAUGAUUUUGAGAGACUUACCUUGCUGCACGCCAACAGCAACCAGUGUUUGGACAUGCCGUCGGAGGAGGACAGGACGGUCCCCGCCUUGAGGGACUGCAACAGGAGCCGCUCCCAGCAGUGGCUGCUCCGCAACAUGACCCUGAAGGUGCUCACAGACUCCAACGUACAAUGGGCGGAGCGGACUCCGCACUGAAGGUCACCACGGCUUCCGUAGUCAACGUGGUAGUUUUCUGUGAAGUUUCUGUUAAACACGACAUUCCCCCUCCACACAAUCCCUGCGCGCCGGUGACAUUUUCGACACUGACGAACAAGUGGAGCUGCUCUACCUGCUGGUUUCACAAAGCAGUAAACUACAGAAUAGUAUUGUUUAUAUGGCCAUUAAAUACCACAAGAGAGGAGGAAGGGGAGAACUGGCAGCCAGUUCCACUCGGCACAUCGACUGUGUCGAAUGGUCUCAGAGCUAUUACAGCUUCAACUCUUCUGGGAAGGCUGUCCACAGGGUUGCGGAGUGUGUUUAUAGGAAUUUUCCACCAUUCUUCCAAAAGGGCAUUGGUGAAGUCACACACUGAUGUUUGUCGAGAAGGCCUGGCUCUCAAGUCUCCGUUCUAAUUCAUCCCAAAGGUGUUCUGUCGGGUUCAGGUCAGGACUCUGUGCAGGCCAGUCAAGUUCAUCCACACCAGACUCUGUCAUCCAUGUCUUUAUGGACCUUGCUUUGUGCACUGGUGCACAGUCAUGUUGGAAGAGGAAGGGGCCCGCUCCAAACUGUUCCCACAAGGUUGGGAGCAUGGAAUUGUCCAAAAUGUUUUGGUAUCCUGGAGCAUUCAAAGUUCCUUUCACUGGAACUAAGGGGCCAAGCCCAACUCCUAAAAAACAACCCCACACCAUAAUUCCUCCUCCACCAAAUUUCACACUCGGCACAAUGCAGUCCGAAAUAUAGCGUUCUCCUGGCAACCUCUAAACCCAGACUGGUCCAUCAGAUUGCCAGAUGGAAAAGCGUGAUUCAUCAGUCCAGAGAAGGCGUCUCCACUGCUCUAGAGUCCAGUGGCGACGUGCUUUACACCACUGCAUCCCACGCUUUGCAUUGGACUUGGUGAUGUAUGGCUUAGAUACAGCUGCUCGGCCAUGGAAACCCAUUCCAUGAAGCUCUCUGCGUACUGUACGUGGGCUAAUUGGAAGGUAUCAUGAAGUCUGGAACUCUGUAGCAACUGACUGUGCAGAAAGUCUUUGCACUAUGCGCUUCAGCAUCCGCUGACCCCUCUCUGUCAGUUUACGUGGCCUACCACUUGGUGGCUGAGUUGCUGUUGUUCCCAAACUCUUCCAUUUUCUUAUAAUAAAGCCGACAGUUGACUUUGGAAAAUUUAGGAGCGAUGAAAUUUCACGACUGGAUUUGUUGCACAGGUGGCAUCCUAUGACUGGAAAUCACUGAGAGCGGCCCAUUCUUUCACAAAUGUUUGUAGAAACAGUCUCCAUGCCUAAGUGCUUGAUUUUAUACACCGGGCCAAGUGAUUAGGACACCUGAUUCUCAUCAUUUGGAUGGGUGGAUUUUAUAUAUAUUAUGAUAUUUUUGGGGGUUUUCCAGACUGCAUGUCACUGACAGUAAACCAAAUGCAAACUGGUUUUUCAGGGUGUAGAUUUGAACAUCCAUCCCUCCAUUUCCUACCACUUCUACCUCUCGUGGUCGCGUAGUUGGCUGGAGCCUAUCCCAACUGCAUUCGGGCAGAAGACGGGGUGCACUCUGGACAAGUUGCCCGCCACCUCAUAUAUUCCUCAAAUAUUGGCCUCAACUCCCAACUCAAUUAAUUCCCCCGAAUGGAAAGCAUGAGCCUAUUUGAAUGAUUUUGCUAACCAGAGCAGCAUCAUCUAAUGACAUGUAAAUAUGUGAUGUGACAACUCAUUGUUAUGUGCACACUUUUAAAAAUAAUGAGAUAGCAAUUUUCAGUUUUGCCAACUAUGUUUAACACCCACAGUAUUGGACUUGUGCUUUCAGUCGUGUCCAUUCUGCCUCAGUUUAGGUUCUUGACGGUUUUUUUUUAGUAUUUUCCUUACAGUAGUCCUUCUGUUUUGUUGUGAACCCUUAUUUUGAGUUUUAUUAUUCAUAUUUAUCCAUCCAUUUUCUACCGCUUAUUCCCUUCGGGGUCGCGGGGGCGCUGGAGCCUAUCUCAGCUACAAUAGGGCGGAAGGCGGGGUACACCCUGGACAAGUCGCCACCUCAUCACAGGGCCAACACAGAUAGACAGACAACAUUCACACUCACAUUCACACACUAGGGCCAAUUUAGUGUUGCCAAUCAACCUAUCCCCAGGUGCAUGUCUUUGGAGGUGGGAGGAAGCUGGAGUACCCGGAGGGAACCCACGCAGUCACGGGGAGAACAUGCAAACUCCAUACAGAAAGAUCCCGAGCCCGGGAUUGAACUCAGGACCUUCGUAUUGUGAGGCAGACGCACUAACCCCUCUGUUUUAUGUAUUAUUCUAUAUAAAUAUCAUGUAUUUGUUAUCUAAAACAAACCUUUAGAUAAGACUGUGGAAGUGGCUUCCUCGCAGCUCCACUGUAGACACGGCACAAGAGCCAAGCGUGCAGGUUUAACAAAGUGUUAAUGUUUGUCACAAGAGUUUCCAAAAAGUCUUUCCACGUGUCGUGACGUUGCCGUCGCUCCCGAUCCUCUCUCUCGCUCUGCUCCCGACAACAGAUGAUUAGAUUAACACGUACCACCUGUGAAAUCUAAUCACCUGCCAGCUGUGUCUCGCCGUCAGCACAUGCCCCGCCCCUGCCCGCUGGUGCUCGUCAUCAGUACCAUGGACAGCGGCGGUGACUUUUCCUCCUACAGGCAGCGCUGACUGCACCCGCCCCCACAAAGAUAUAUUGAGUAAAACAAUACAAUAGAACAUACUACUACCAAAUAAUGCGGUGUUUUUCAACCUUUUUUGAGCAAAGGCACAUUUUUUUGCGUUGAAUAAAUCCGAAGGCACACCACCAGCAGACGUCAUUAAAAAACGAAACUCAGUUGACAGUAAAAAGUUGUUGUCGCAAUUGUUGGAUAUGACUUUAAACCAUAACCAAGCAUGCAUCACUAUAGCUCUUGUCUCAAAGUAGGUGUACUUUCACCACCUGUCACAUCACGCCCUGACUUUUUUGGAGUUUAUUGCUGUUUUCCUGUGUGUAGUGUUUUAGUUUGUGUCUUGCGCUCCUAUUUUGGUGGCUUUUUCUCUUUAUUUGGUGUUUUCCUGUAGCAGUUUCAUGUCUUAUAUUUCCCGCGUCUACUUUGUUUUAGCAAUCAAGAAUAUUUCAGUCGUUUUUAUCCUUCUUUGUGGGGACAUUGUUGAUUGUCAUGUCAUGUUCCGAUGUACUUUGUGGACGCCGUCUUUGCGCCACAGUAAGUCUUUGCUGUCGUCCAGCAUUCUGUUUUUGUUUACUUUGCAGCCAGUUCAGUUUUAGUUUUGUUCUGCAUAGCCAUCCCUAAGCUUCAAUACCUUUUCUUAGGGGCACUAACCUUUUGUUUAUUUUUGGUUUAAGCAUUAGACACAAUUUUACCUGCACGCUGCCUCCCGCUGUUCCCGACAUCUACAAAGCAAUUAGCUACCGGCUACCACCUACUGAUAUGGAGGAGUAUUACACGGUUACUCUGCCGAGCUCUAGACAGCACCGACACUCAACAACAACACAUCAUUUGCAGACUAUAAUUACUGGUUUGCAAAAAAUAUUUUUAACCCAAAUAGGUGAAAUUAGAUAAUCUCCCACGGCACACCAGACUGUAUCUCACGGCACAGUGGUUGAAAAACACUGAACUAAUGUAAUAAUAACAUACAGCAUUUACCUUAGAGAGCAGACUUCUGUGGUAUCUCCUUCCAGCUGGUUUCCCGUCAAACACACCAUCACCAGCUUUUUUUACAUUUUCAUGGAUAAAUGUAAGCCGAUUCGGUCUUAAUUUUUUGUCCUUGACUGGCACAAAAGAGGACUUCUGCUUCUAUAUGGUGCGGACUAGCAGCGCUAGACUCAAACUGCCUCCCCAAACUCGCCCACACAUGAUGAUUUCUUUCUUUAAUUCAAUGAAUCACAUCAGCCUCUUUUUCCUCAACACUCACUUUCUUCGUUCUCAUGUUAUAAAACAAGGUUAUGUCAGUCUCUAGCGAUAAGCUAUUGCGAGCGCGUCAAACCUUACAGCAGGGCUAUUCAACCGGUUCAAUCUGUUCAAAACUUGGGAGAUAAACACUUUAGCAGCAAAUUUCUAAAAAAAAAAAAAAGACUGGAGUGCUCCUGUUGUACAGAAGAACUUGGAAAAACUCAGACACAUCCUUGCAUUGACAUUUUAACAUUGCCAGCAAACACAGAACUUGUGAUUACAUACCCGAGGGGUUCCUCAAGGCUCCCCUUUAAGUCCUCUCCUUUUUGAAAGUUGGUUGAGGUACUGCUAUUUAUAUAUUAUUUCAUUAUGAUUACAAUAUUGUGGUUGAACAGAUAAAGGCCUUAUCACUAAUAAAAGUCGGAGCCCCACGAACCAAAACAAUACGGUUGGUUUGUGUUGUUGACAAGCUUUGAGAUGAGUUUUGAGUAAUGACUCACCAUUGUCUAAUGAGGUAUUACACCCCAAUAUGUACAUUUGGGCGAAAAAUAUCCCAUUAUUAAUUUCAUACCAUCAUCAAACUAAGUGAUUCAAUGUUUUUCCUACACGACUUCCAGUUGUCGAAGACAUUGCUUGGUUCUUUCACGCAUGUUGGGACAUUAGGCUCUGAAAAGAAUAGCUGUGCCUUCCAUUAUAUUUAGCUUUAAGAUUGUUUUAUCAUUGAAAAAGAAUCAAGAGAAUACAUUGACGGAGUCCUUGCUGAAGUGCCUGUUUGGCAGUCAGACCAAAAUGUAGUCACGGUUUGUCACACUGUACCACACACCCCAUUUUCUCAUGUGCUUGUAAGCGUGGUGUUAUUAUUGUAAUGUAACGUUUCAGUCUUCUUAAUGUGAUGUCGCCUGUUUGUACAGUCUGCGUUUUUAGAGAAAAAUAAAGACUACUUUAAAAAAAAAUGUGAUAAUUGCCAGUGAUUACAUGAUAUAAAGAAGGGAUUUCUGACCUUUUUCUGGUCUCUCUGUUCAUACCAAAUAUGAGGGCAGAAGGUCAAAACAGACAGUGGAGAUGACAGGCAACAACCUCUUCACGGACACAAAAGGGCAAAUAUAUAGUAGUAUGGGUAUAGUAUAUACUAGACCUGGGAAAAUUAAGCUUUUCAAUCUGGCCCGCCGGACAUUCCCAAAUGACUUUUUUAGAUUUUUAAGAUGGAAACUGUAGCCGCCGUUAUGAUGUGCAGUGAUGUUUUCAAAUGACCGUAAG